rnacentral:rRNA from 1 species
AUACAGAGGAUCCGAGCGUUAUCCGGAUUUAUUGGGUUUAAAGGGUGCGCAGGCGGCCAUUUAAGUCAGCGGUUAAAUCGUGGGGCUCAACCCCAUUCUGCCGUUGAUACUGGGUGGCUUGAUUGCGGUCGAGGUUGGCGGAAUUCGUUGUGUAGCGGUGAAAAGCAUAGAUAUGACGAAGAACACCGAUUGCGUAGGCAGCUGACCAGACCGCUAAUGACUCUCAUGCACGAAAGUGCGGGGAUCGAACAGGAUUAGAUACCCUGGUAGUCCGCACAGUAAACGAUGAAUACUUGUUUUCGGCGAUAUAAUGUCGGAGGCAAAGCGAAAGCGAUAAGUAUUCCACCUGGGGAGUACGCCUGCAACGGUGAAACUCAAAGGAAUUGACGGGG